CCCCAGGAGGACUAGUGGUUAGGCCACAGGACUCUCACCACUGCGGCCGGGUUCGAUUCAUUGCCAGGGAA